GUGCUUGCUUCAGCAGCACAUAUACUAAAAUAGGAACAAUACAGAGAAAUUAGCACAGCUCCUGCACAAAUAUGACAUGCAAAUUCGUGAAAUGUUCCAUAUUUUU